rnacentral:rRNA from 1 species
UACGUAGGGGGCGAGCGUUAUCCGGAACUAUUGGGCGUAAAGAGUACGUAGGUGGUUUUGUAAGCGGUGGGUGAAAGCCCGGGGCUUAACUCCGGCGAGCCUAUCGAACUGCAAGACUUGAGUGCAGGAGGGGAAAGUGGAAUUCCUAGUGUAGCGGCGAAAUGCGUAGAUAUUAGGAGGAACACCAGUGGCGAAGGCGACUUUCUGGACUGUAACUGACACUGAGGUACGAAAGCGUGGGGAGCAAACA